rnacentral:lncRNA from 1 species
UUAGAUAAGAACAUAUACCAAUUUUUUUCCUAAUCUAAGCCAAUUAUUGUCAAGCACGGUCUCAAAGGAAGAGAAUCUACAUGGCGGUCUAGCCAGAUGGUGCUAACAAAGUUGUCUUCCUUGCUUUGAUGCCUGGGUGUCUGAGAUGAUAGAUAUGUUGUCAGGUCUGCGAAAUGGUGAAGCUCAGGGACUCUUCAAAUAAUGAGUCAGCUUGUAUAAUAGGAAGUCCAGGAACGGCAGUACAUUUAAUGCAAGAAUAAAAAAACAAUUUUGCAGGCCAGGCGCAGUGGCUCACGCCUGUAAUCCCAGCACUUUGGGAGGCUGAGGCGGGUGGGUCACCUGAUGUUGGGAGUUCAAGGCCAGCCUGACCAACACGGAGAAACUCCGUCUCUACUAAAAAUACGCUAACAAGCCAGUUUUGUCACAGUCUUAGAACCUAAAUUUCACUUGAGGAGUUACCUCAGACUGUAGGACACUGGUCAACAGAAACCCUAAUCUAGGACACCCAUUUGUUUGUUAAUGGUUUAGCAGGCAUAGUGUUCUUCAGGAAGACAUCAAGUUUUUUUAAUUUUUAAAUUUUAAAUUUUUUGUUUUUUGAGACAGAGUCUUGCUCUUUCACCCAGGCUGGAGUGCAGUGAGCAAAUAAAUUCACAUCUAUGCCGGGCGCGGUGGCUCAUGCCUGUAAUCCCAGCACUUUGGGAGGCCGAGGCGGGCGGAUCACAACCAUGUCCCUACAAAGGACAUGAACUCAUCCUUUUCGUGGUGGCACAUGCUUGUAAUCCCAUCUACUCAGGAGGCUGAGGUGGGAGGAUCACUUGAACCUGGGAGGCAGAGGCUGCAGUGAGGCGAGAUUGCGCCACUGCACUCCAGCCUGGGCAACAAAGUGAGACUCCAUCUCAAAAAAAAACAAGAAAGAAAAGAAAGAAUUUCUGAGUAUCUGGCUUGGCCCUUGACACAGGGUUGUUGUCCACAACCCCUUCAUCUUGCCCAUCAAUAGUAGUCCAAGGUUAGUACACCAUCCCUAGUGGUUCCCCUGCGCCCACAUCUCUGUGAAUCAUCCUUUGUGUAUAAACUUCCCUCUAAUUAUCCUAAUCUAAGUGGGCCAUCUGUUUCCUGUUGGACCAUGAAUUAUACAAUCACUUUACACUCUCACUAGCAACACAAAAGAGUUCCCACAUCAUGCCAUGCUUUACGCUUUGAGUUUUUUGUUUUUCUUUGGCAAUUUGACAGGCAAAAAAAAAAAAAAAAAGGCAAAUGUUAUCUUUUUCUACUAUUGGGCUCACUGCAACCUCUGCCUCGCGUCUCAAAAAAGACAUCUACUCUUCAACCAAUUCUCCUGGCUCAGCCUUACAAGUAGCUGGGAUUAUAGGUGCCUGCCACGACACCCAGCUAAUUUUCUGUAUUUUUUAGUAGAGAUGGGGUUUCACCAUAUU